rnacentral:rRNA from 1 species
AUGGAGGCGAUGAUGAAGGAAUUAGGUCUGAAGGAGGAUGACCUAGAAGAUGUGGUGAUCGAGGAGGAUGACCUACCAGAGGAUGCCACCAGGUGGAUGGCGCUGGCCCGUGUCCACACAGAUAAGCUCUAUAGCCAAUAUUGGUUCUUCCGUAACAUGCGCGUGGCGUGGGAUCUUGCACAAGAGGUGAAAUUUCGUCCACUAGAAGAGAAUCUCUACACCCUCCAAUUCUCGUGCCUCGGCGACUGGGAA